rnacentral:rRNA from 1 species
CCUACGGGCGGCAGCAGUGGGGAAUAUUGGACAAUGGGCGAAAGCCUGAUCCAGCCAUGCCGCGUGUGUGAAGAAGGCCUUCGGGUUGUAAAGCACUUUCAGUGGGGAAGAAAGCCUUGGGGCUAAUACCCUCGAGGAAGGACAUCACCCACAGAAGAGGCCCCGGCUAACUCCGUGCCAGCAGCCGCGGUAAUACGGAGGGUGCGAGCGUUAAUCGGAAUUACUGGGCGUAAAGCGCGCGUAGGCGGUCUGAUAAGCCGGUUGUGAAAGCCCCGGGCUCAACCUGGGAACGGCAUCCGGAACUGUCAGGCUAGAGUGCAGGAGAGGAAGGUAGAAUUCCCGGUGUAGCGGUGAAAUGCGUAGAGAUCGGGAGGAAUACCAGUGGCGAAGGCGGCCUUCUGGACUGACACUGACGCUGAGGUGCGAAAGCGUGGGUAGCAAACAGGAUUAGAUACCCCGGUCGUC